UCAUACGGCAGUUAUUGAAUCCAAGGCAAGAAACUUCGAAGCAAUACUUCUCUCGGUGCUGGAAAAGGAGUUUGGGUGGUGGAAUCACUCAUUCCGACAAGAAAAUCUGAGAACGGACAAAGUUUCUUGAAGUUCCUGGACGAGAAUCAGACGAAAAUCAGAGUUUAGUUGGACUUCGGGUAAACUGAUCGAAAACAGAAAAUGUGAGUUUUUUCGUAUCUUUGGACGGCCUUAACUCAUCCUGUGUUCAAGGAAAAA